ACGAGCUCAAAUCGUGUCAGAAAAUAAACUUGGCGAAAGAACAGCAAAAUAUUCGAUUCAAAUUCAACGUUGGAUCUACGAUAGUUGGCUCGGUGUGGAUCAAGCUUACCCACACCGAACCACGAAUGUGACGGCCAACAGGAGUGGCCCAAGUUUGAUACAGAUACCACUCGGCAUACCGAGGUAAAGUUUUUCAAGCGUCAUCAGGACUGGCACCAGGACUGGCAGGCUCCAC
rnacentral:lncRNA from 1 species